rnacentral:rRNA from 1 species
GACGAACGCUGGCGGCGUGCUUAACACAUGCAAGUCGAACGGAAAGGCCCUGCUUUUGUGGGGUGCUCGAGUGGCGAACGGGUGAGUAACACGUGAGUAACCUGCCCUUGACUUUGGGAUAACUUAAGGAAACUGGGGCUAAUACCGGAUAGGAGCUCCUGCUGCAGGGUGGGGGUUGGAAAGUUUCUGCCGUUGGGGAUGGACUCGCGGCUUAUCAGCUUGUUGGUGGGGUAGUGGCUUACCAAGUAUUUGACUGGUCGCCGGCCGGGGAGGGUGACCGGCCACCUUGGUACUGCGAUACGGCCCAGACUCCUACGGGAGGCAGCAGUGGGGAAUAUUGCACAAUCGGCGGAAGCCUGAUGCAGCAACGCCGCGUGCGGGAUGACGUCCUUCUGGUUGUAAACCGCUUUCGCCUGUGACGAAGCGUGAGUGACGGUAAUGGGUAAAGAAGCACCGGCUAACUACGUG